UAAAAUAUCCUACCCUUUGUGAAUUUGUUUGUUUGAAUAAUUUUUUUUUUAAAAAUUAUUGGAGUCUUUCCUUUAGAGUUUGCUUUUGAGUUUGUAAAGAAUUCGAAAACAUCUAAACGGGGAUGGUCAAUAAUUUUUUUUGAAAAAGACAUUUUUUAAAAUUAAACUUUUGUAUUCAUUUGUCUAAAAUUAUUUUUAUAAUAUAAAAACAACUUUUGACAAUGGAUCUCUUGGUUCUCGCAACGAUGAAGAACGCAGCAAAAUGCGAUAAGUAGUGUGAAUUGCAGAAUACGUGAAUCAUCGAAUCUUUGAACGCAUAUUGCACUUUUUUAGUUUACUAAAAAGUAUGUCUGUUUGAGUAUCAGUAAAAUAUUCUCAUAAAAUCAUUGUGUAUUUUUAUGGUUAUGAGUGUUUUACAACGAUACAAGUUGUUUCACUUUAAAUUUUUUUUUAAUAUUGAAAUUUUUCUAAUUUAAUAAUUAAAAUUGGAUAAAAUUUUCCCGUCAAAAGGAAUAACCUAAACAAUUUUAAAUGAUUAAUUUUAGCAAAAUUUCGAAAAAAGGAAAAUUUUUAUUAAAAUAACUUGAUCUCAAAUCAGAUAAGAGUACCCGCUGAACUUAAGCAUAUCAAUAAGCGAGGAAAAGAAACUAACAAGGAUUCCCUUAGUAACGGCGAGUGAGCGGAAGAGCUCAAUCUGAAAUCUUCAAGUUUUACCUUGACGAUUGUAGUUUAAAGAAGUGUUUUCUGCUGAAGUUUUGGUAAAGUUCUUUGGAAUAGGACAUCAUAGAGGUGAGAAUCCCGUAUUUGACCAUUAUUUCAGCUUUGUGAUACACUUUCAAAGAGUCGAUUGUUUGGAAUGCAGUCCAAAAUGGGUGGUAAAUUUCAUCUAAAGCUAAAUAUUGGCGAGAGACCGAUAGCGAACAAGUACCGUGAGGAAAAGAUGAAAAGAACUUUGAAAAGAGAGUUAAACAGUACGUGAAAUUGUCAAAGGGAAGCGUUUGACACCAGUGUUGUUUUCUCGAAAAUCAAUUAAAAAUGGCUCGAUUUUGUAUUGCUGAGACCUUAAAAGCUCACUGUACAUUUUUCGUGUCUUUUUUAUGCACUUUCGUUUAACAAGUCAACAUCAGUUUCUUUGUUGUAAAAGGUCAUUGAAGGUGGCUUUCUUUCGAGAAAGUGUUUAUAGCCUUUGGCCUCUGCAAUCGAAGAGACUGAGGUCUGCAGCGUAGACUCUCGGGUUAGAUACAUUUGUGCUAAGUUAUAGCUUUUUAUAGACAACUUGUUGACUAUAAUUAGUCUUGUAGCUUACUCGCUUAUGCUAUUUACUAC
rnacentral:misc_RNA from 1 species